rnacentral:lncRNA from 1 species
AAAGGGAUUUGGGGUUGGUUGGUUGGUUUGUUUUAAGCAGAGAGAAGGAAAUGGGGAAAUUUCACUCUUAGCUCCUCUGGUUCUUAUUUCUGCUCUGAAGUAUCUUGUCCAUAGCAACUGACCCUCACCUUGCCCGGUGAUUUCCCUGUAAUUGAAGACCUUAUCACUUACGAGAAGCUGAAAUGCUAGAUGGAUUGAUAGAAUCAUUAGAAGACUAUACAAAGGAAUUACACACAUGGACGUGAAUCCAUAUGCCUUUUAAAUCUCUAUCCUAUGAGACAGAUGCAUCAAUAAUAAAAUUAAGGUGUGUAGGAAGUCAAACUGUGUCCCGCCUCCAGGGUGCAUUGUGGAGAUUAGGUCAGGGUGAAGAUAGUUUGGUGGAUAAGAGUCUGCAUAAGACGUGCCCCAGGUUUUUUUGGAAGGCUUGUUGUAAGAAAGAAGCUACAGCGUUGUGGCUGUGUCUUCCCCCAGCUACUAUAGAGCCAAUGAAGUACAGCAGUUCCAGUAUUCUCGGCCAUUCCGGAAAGGAGAGAAGGAUCCCGACAAUGAGUUUGCUACUAUGUGGAUUGAAAGGACCACGUAUACAACUGCCUAUAGCUUCCCUGGGAUUCUCAAGUGGUUUGAAGUCAAACAGAUUUCAACAGUAAGUCAUUUGAAAUUGGGACUCGGAAAAAUCUUUCUGUCUCCAAGGAUAAUAAGAGCCUUUGUUAAAUGCCCCCUCUGGGUCUCCCCAGCUUGGUGGACCAGCCUCCUCUGGCCACUCCAUUUUCUAAAGGAGAAAUGAAAGGCCUGCUUGUGGAAUAGAACUCCUUUGUAAAACUGAUGUUACACCACCACCCCUAAAGGUUACUCACAGUGAAAGGCUCUUUUAUGACCAGACGAGUGUUGUCUCCGCAAGGACCAUGCCAGCACCCAAAAACAUUUUUGGAAUUCCUCCUUUGAGUUUCCUAUCAUCGCAUUCUUCUCUCCCAGAACAUUGCCUCUUCUUUUAUUUCCAGCUAACCGUAUCUCCAUUUUCAUCACUCCCCAAAACUGUUC